CCUACGGGUGGCAGCAGUGAGGAAUAUUGGUCAAUGGACGAGAGUCUGAACCAGCCAAGUAGCGUGAAGGAUGACUGCCCUAUGGGUUGUAAACAUCUUUUAUAUGGGAAUAAAACCGGGUAUGCAUACCCUCUUGUAUGUACCAUAUGAAUAAGGAUAGGCUAACUCCGUGCCAGCAGCGGCGGUAAUACGGAGGGUCCGGGCGUUAUCCGGGUUUAUUGGGUUUAAAGGGAUCGUAGGUGGAUUGUUAAGUCAGUUGUGAAAGUUUGCGGCUCAACCGGAAAAUUGCAGUUGAAACUGGCAGUCUUGAGUACAGUAGAGGUGGGCGGAAUUCGAGGUGUAGCGGUGAAAUGCUUAGAGAUCACGAAGAACUCCGAUUGCGAAGGCAGCUCACUGGACUGCAACUGACACUGAGGCUCGAAAGUGUGGGUAUCAAACAGGAUUAGAUACCCGUGUAGUC
rnacentral:rRNA from 1 species